UGUGUGUGUGGCGCUAAUACAUAAAUUUAUCUACACUCUACACUAUUUCUAACGAGGGAAAGCGUGUGUGUGUGUGUGUGUGUGUGUGUGUGUGUGUGUGUGUGUGUGUGUGUGUGUAUGUAGCGUUAACACGUAAACACAAACACACACACGAAAGUUUAUCACGAUCCACGGGAAGACGAUUUUAGCGAGCGUCUGUCUGUCUAGCGGUGUGUGUAUAUGUGUGUGCGUGUGUGUGUGUGUGUGUCAGUCGGUGUGUGGACGCGGCUUGGGUUGGGUGUGGGAGCGCGCCCUGGUAUAUAGCGGAGGUGAGGUAGAGGUUGGGACGAUUCGGCGUGUGUUCUACCUUGGCCCCGCUACUCAUACUGCUAUAACUACAAAUAUACGAGUGUUUCCCUGUGUUGGCUGGCACUGGUAGAGGCGCGUGUGCUGUGUUGUGCUGCGAGAUGCAGUGGGCGGCUGUCACGCUGUUGUGGGCGUGUGCGGGCGGGUUGACAGCGUUACCCUCAACUCCACACCCCCACCCACAACCACACCCACACGCCCAAGCAGGUGUAGGCGUGACUCGGGACAACCCAGCAGAGAGCAAUGUAAUUUUUGCUCAGAGAAGGACCGGCCCACCCCGCCCUCCGCCCCGCCAGUGCCUGAUAACGAGCUAAGACGACAAUUAGAACAACAACUCCUGCCACAGCUGAGGGAAUUACCGCGGGAGACGCCGCCAGCUCCCUCCCACCCGGACAUCAGCCUUAUCCCGCUGCAGGGGGAAUCGGAGGAAACAUUACUAAAGGAGAGAUUUCCUCCUUACACUGACAAUUUUCCUCCAUUUUCUCACUCGGGACGGGCUUUUCCUCUCCUCCUCCUUCUCCUCCUCCUCCUCCUCCUCCUCGUCUUCCUCCUUCUCCUCCUCGUCUUCCUCCUCUUAAUUCACUCCCUGCCUUCCAAUCGCCAUCUCUUCCACCAUCUAGUCCAUCUUCCUUCUCUUCACCUCCUCCUCCUCCUCUUCCUUCUUCUUCUCCUUCUCCUCCUCCUCCUCCUCCUCCUCCUCCUCCUCCUCCUCCUCCUCCUUCCUCCCCUCCCCCUGUUUUCAGCCCCAGCAGACCAGUAAGAGGUACCCCAGUGUCUCCCAUUAAAGUUGUCCCUCCUCCUUCUCUUCCUCCUCCUCCUCCUUCUCCUUCUCUUCCUCCUCCUCCUCCUCCUCCUCCUCCUUCUUCUCCUCCUUUUCCUCCUCCUUUUCCUCCUCCCCUAAUUCUCAUCUGUCAAUCAAAACUCUUUCUUUUCUCAAUUCCUUCCUUCCUGUGCCUCUCCUGACAGCAGACCCACUUUCACAGACCCUCCCACAGCCCACAGCACACACAGCCAGCCCACACAGACCCAGUACCUUGACACAGCCCACAGCAACCCCUCACAGCCCCUCCAGCCACUUAACACAGCCCACAGCAAGAGGUAAUAGAGCUUCCAGUGCCCUGACACAGUCCACAGCAGCCCCUCACAGCCCCUCCAGCCACUUACCACAGCCCACAGGUGACAUAAACAGACCCACAGAAUCCCACAGACCACAACAACCACCACAGCCCACAGCAAGGGGUAACAGAGCUCCUAAAGCCUUGACACAGCCUAUAUCAGCCCCUCACAGACCUCAUAAUGCCUUGACACAACCCAUAGACCCUCACAGACUUCAUGACUUACCACAGAUCACAGCAAUAGACCCACAGACCUUCCUUACACCUCCUCCUCGUAGACCACACAGCACAGACACACAGAAUAAUGAAAAUAGAGGAAAUAGACCCUUUCUUCGUAGACCCCAGCUAGAACAAACUCCAAAAAGACCACAGACCACCAUAGCACACAGCUCAAAUAGGGACCUACCAGCCUCACCCCCUCGUAGACCACCCCAGCCCCUCUCCCAGCCCUUCCCCCGUAGACCAAGACCACAGGAAGGCCCCAGUCAGCCCCACAGACCCGGCAGGGGGCUGAGAGCUUCAUUUAGACGCCACAGGGGACUUAGAAACACCAGGGGAAGAGGGACUGAUCUGCUGGGGACAGGUGCCUCCUCACACAGCCCACGCCCACACCCACGCCCACGACCCACGCCCAUUAGAACACGAAGAAGCCCUUCACCACUGAAAGAAGAAGAAGAAGAAGAAGAAGAAGAAGAAGAAGAAGAAGAAGAGGAAGAAGAAGAAGACAAACUUACACCAACAAAGAAGAAGAACAACACUCAAAUAAAAAACAAGAGAAGAAGAAUAAGAGAAACAAAUCAAAAAGAAGAAGAGGAAGAAGAAGAAGAAGAGAAGAGGAGGAGGAGGAAGAAGAAGGGGUGAUACAGGCAGUAAGAGGAAGACUGGAGGAGGUGGAGGAGAGAGUAAAGGGCGUGGGAGAGGAGAUGACCAGACGCCUUGAGAAACUGGUGGGCGGGGUGAGGCGAGGUGUGGGCGCCAUUGGAAAGGUAGCGGGAGAGGUAGCGGGCGCGGGCGUGGUGGCGGCGGGUCAAACGGGCUACAAUCUUCUACAGACGGUACAAGAGAGCCAGUCCUCGCCUCCUUCCAGUCCUCACACACGCACGCUUGCCACGGGACUGCAGCUCACCGUGCCUCAAGAAACCCACGUCAACAAACACAGGGUUGGAGUGCGUCUGGACAUUCUCCCACACACCCCACGUCGCCUCAUCCCUCCUCUCGCACUCUCCCUGGACCUACGCACUCUCUCCUCUCCCUUGCCGCUCUCCCAGAAAGACCCAGUGCCCUUCCUCGGAGGCUACACCCACGAUCACACCUACUACCACCACCACCCACGCCGCUACCACCCACGCCCGCCCAGCCACGCGCACGUUCAUGAAGGGAGUGAAGGAAAGAAGGAGGUCUGAGAGAGAGAGAGAGAGAGAGAGAGAGAGAGAGAGAGAG